AUUUUUCAGUUUUGGUGAUGGUUAGAUUUUUUCUCUCUCUUUUCCGAUAAUUAAUCCGUAGUCUUUGUUUAUUACUACUUAUUUUACUUUCCCUUGGUUAAACACUUGGAAUUUGAAAUCCCUAACUCGAAUGGGAGAGCCCCCACGCUCCUCUCUUUCAUUGAAAUUCUCAACUUUGACACCCCUAUGCAAAUUCUUUUCUUUUCUUUUAUUUUUUGUUUUUCCAAAGGUUGAUAGCUUUCAAUCGUUCCCAAACUUCAAUUUCUAGUAUUACUUUUUCUCUCCUAUAAUUGAUUUCCUGGAUAUAUAUAUUCAAAGUUUAUAUAUAUAUAUAUAUAUUAAUGCUCAGUCAACUGUUCAUAGCUUCCAGUAAAUGGUGCGUGGUAUUCAUUAAAGGUCUGUCGGACAUGGAGCAUAUUUCAAUUGGUAUACUGCUAUCUUUGGUGAAGAUUUGAUCAGCUUCCUCGAGGUGCUUUCGAAGAAAUAAGAGCAAGAAAUGAAGAGAAGGAGUCCCAAAGCAACCGGCAGGAAGAUGAUCACAAGUGUCCUUUUCAUCCCGUGAAAACCAUUUGAGUUCUUCCUCAUAUUUGCCGCUGAUUAACAAGCAGAAGAAUCUCAUUUUCAUGGUUCAUUGGCCAAAAAGAAGCAAGAAGGAUACUUUGUGGAGUUUUAAACAUCAAAGGUCACAAUGCUGAAUUUCUGGCAGCAGUGGAACCUGACUUUUGUCGCCAUUUUCGACCUAGCAAACUCAAGAACUGGACUUCCAUCAUAACAUGAAAGAUUUAGAGCUCUGAAUUAGCUUUCCAAAUCUUCAAACGGUUUGUCAUUCGGAGCUCGGAGUAGAGAGUUAUGGCCUUGUUACCAGAGGUGUGCAGAACUGCCUGGCAGUACUGAAGUACUGCCUUUCUCCCCAUUUUCGACCAGCCAGACUUGAGAUUUGGGUCUUUAUCAAAACAUGAAGUUUUUAAAGCUCUGAAUCAGCUCUCCAAAUAUUUAAACGGUUCAUCAUUCGAAGUUCGGAGCGCAAAGUUAUGGCCAUUUCAUCAAAGUAGGUCUGGGCGGAGCAAGUGAAGCAUGGAGCUUUUUACAAUUAAUUCGAGUGCUCGAGGCCCUAUUUCGAGCACUCGAAAUUUGGGCAGUUUGCUCCACGAGACAGCCCACUUGUGCUCUGAAAUUUCCAAUUUUGGAUGGCCCUCUUUUAUGAGGUGGUUGGGGAUGUUUUUGGAGGAGAGAGAGAGCCUAGUUUGGUGGUAGAUAAGAGGGAUAAGAGCCACACAUCUCAUAAGCUACUUUGGGAUCAGAUUUUGGGGAGAGAAGAGAGGAAGGAGAUAGAGUUCUUCAAGCUUGAAGAAGGGAGCACGAAAAUGGAGGAGGUCUUCAAGCUUCUUCCUUCUUCCAUUGCUCCUAUGGGUAACUAAAUCUUCUCUAGGGAGGUGAUGAAGCUCCUCCCUUGUAAGCAUGUGCUAGUGUAGAUUUUAUUUUGGGGAGAACAAUGUAUAGUUUUUGGUUAUUUUAUGAUCUAGAGCAUCAUAUUUUUUGUAAUGAACUUUAAUAUCUAUACAUGAUUAU